CAUCUUUUUUUAUAAGAACACUUAAAGAAGGCCUUUCAACUUUUCAAAUUGUUCUUAAAUUGGUCGUAAUUUUCCUCUGAUUUUGUCAUUUUUUGUGUAAGUGUAAAGGAGCAUUUCCGUACUUCGUGAUAUUGUCAAAGACUUAAAUGUUCUUAACAUGUUCUAAACUUUUGGGCCUUUGAAGCCAUAUGUUCAAACAUUUUGUUCUUAUAAAAACUGUUAAUGUUAUCUAUAUUAUGUAGUCAAACAUUAAAAUACAUUUAGUUCACUUCAACAUUCACUGGUAUUGGGGGCUCACAAGCUACUGGAAUUGGUCAUAUUGCCCAAAACUUACCUUAUUAACUCUCUUUAGUACAAAAGCACACUACGUACUUUUCUUUUUCUUUUUUAGGUUGAAGCGCAAAGCCCCAUGACUUGCCUUCCCGUGGCACGCUUCGUUAGGUGGAUUAUUUUCUUUUUAAGGAGAUAAUUCAUGAACUAAAAGUCAGGGCAUGCCAUGUUAAAAUUGCAUCACAUAUUUUUGGUAUUGAAAAGACUCAAGAAGCAUCAACUGCAGGUUUAUGGAGGUUUAUGGAAAACAAAAUCCCAAGUUUUCUUUUUUGUAACAUUAUCGUUUACAGCGACUGUUGAUGUCGAGCGAGAAUAAAAAAAGUUUAUGUUGUUGCCAGAAAUAUUUGUUAUAAAGAAGAAAAACGUACGAUAAUAUAACGUCAAAAAGAGAACUGAUUGGAAAUGUAUCAGACAAUUGUAGCUAGCUAUACAUUUUAAAUUUGUUUUCUUUGGGAUGAAGCGAAGUUUAAUAAUCGAAGUAAAAAACUGAUUGGUCUUUUAUCCAGAGACGCUAGCUAACUGAGAAUGCCAAAGAAAGGCAGUUGUGUUGUUUAGUUUAUCUGGUAAAGAGAUAAGUUUAGGUGGGUAACGUUUUUUUUAACCGUUUUAACUUUCAGAGCUCAGCUUUUCCUUUACAUUUUUAGUUCCUUGUUGAGUCUUGAGCUUAAAUGCGUUUUCUUUUGACACAAUUUUUAUAAGAAUCUAAAAUGUAAAGCGACGUUUUUAAGCCGUUUACACGCUUCCAGCUAAACUUUCCCUUUAAUAUGAAGUUAAAUAUGUUUUGUCUUUAGCCUGAACAUAUUUAACAUUUUUUGUAAGAAUAUACUCUAAACAAUGGGUCAGAAUAUCCUAAGAAUAUGUCUAAGCUUGGUUGUUUCUUUUAAUAUAAAAAUUUGUAUGACUGAACCUUUUUCUCUCCAAAACAAUGGGCAAGUACACCAGGGAAAGCUAAGAACAUAAAGGCCGAAACAAAAAAAAA